AAUCAGUGUCGUCCCGGUCCUGGUUCUAAAGUCCUCAGUCAACCACUGGGACUCAGAUUCUCCCCAGAAGCCAAAGAUGCGGUCAUGGUGCCCCGAACCCUCCUCCUGCUGCUCUCGGGGGCCCUGGCCCUGACCGAGACCUGGGUGGGCUCCCACUCCUUGAGGUAUUUCAGCACCGCUGUCUCCCGGCCCGGCCGCGGGGAGCCCUGGUACCUCGAAGUCGGCUACGUGGACGACACGCAGUUCGUGCGGUUCGACAGCGACGCGGCGAGUCCGAGGAUGGAGCCGCGGGCGCCGUGGAUGGAGCAGGAGGGGCCGGAGUAUUGGGACCGGAACACACGGAACGCCAAGGUCAACGCAGAGACUUUCCGAGGGGACUUGAGGAACCUGCUCCGCUACUACAACCAGAGCGAGGCAGGGUCUCACACCUUCCAGUGGAUGUACGGCUGCGACCUUGGGCCCGACGGGCGCCUCCUCCGCGGGUACCGGCAGUUCGCCUACGACGGCAGGGAUUACAUCGCCCUGAACGAGGACCUGCGCUCCUGGACCGCCGCAGACACGACGGCUCAGAUAACGCAGCGCAAGUGGGAGGCGGCCCGUGCGGCGGAGAAGCUGAGAGCCUACUUGGAGGGCGAGUGCCUGGAGUGGCUCCGUAGAUACCUGGAGAACGGGAAGGAGACGCUGCAGCACGCGGAUCCCCCAAAGACACAUGUGGCCCACCACCCCGUCUCUGACCAUGAGGCCACCCUGAGGUGCUGGGCCCUGGGCUUCUACCCUGCGGAGAUCACACUGACCUGGCAGCGGGAUGGGGAGGAGCAAACUCAGGACACUGAGCUUGUGGAGACCAGGCCAGCAGGGGAUGGAACCUUCCAGAAGUGGGCAGCUGUGGUGGUGCCUUCUGGAGAAGAGCAGAGAUACACGUGCCAUGUGCAGCACAAGGGGCUGCUGGAGCCCCUCACCUUGAGAUGGGAGCCGUCUUCCCAAUCCACCAUCCCCAUCGUGGGCAUCGUUGCUGGCCUGGCUGUCCUAGGAGCUGUGGUUGCUGCUGUGAUGUGGAAGAGGAAGAGCUUAGGACAUUUUGUUCCCACAAGGGGAAAAAGAGGGAGCUACUCUCAGGCUGCAUCCAGCGACAGUGCCCAGGGCUCUGAUGUGUCUCUCAGGGAUUGUAAAGACAUAGGACAGAGUGGUUCUGCAUCUGGGGAACAUCACUGAAGUAAAAUGAGAAUAAUCUCUGACCUUGUGGAGCAUGUGUUCCAGUGGGAAGACGCAGAUGAUAGAUACCUGAUAACCAGAGCAAGGAAGGAAAGUGCUAUAAGGUGGGAUCACCUGGACGUGGUGCUGAGAUCCAGGAAGUCCGGAGUUAAACAAGAGAUUCUUGAUUUAUGACAAGGCUGGAGCUCAUGCUGCUGGUCUCCAGAUCAAGAACACCAGGAUCCCACAUGUCUGAGCAUCAGCCUUGCCUAUAGGGCUUGUUAUAUAAGUAAUUCCUUGGUCUUGUGCAUAAUAUUCUGAGACAGGGAUUCUGGGGAGUGGCCUGUGUAUUUUCUAAGCCCCGCCAGCAAUCCUGUUGCUCAGCCACAUUGGGAACCACUGAGAUCAGAGAUCAGAGAGUGGCCAGGGUGGGUGGGUGGGGUGGGUUUUCAAACCCUGUUUAAAAGAGGAUUUUUCUCACAGAAAGAAAAGGGAGGAUGUGUAUCAUCAGUUAUGAGAUGUGACAUUCCCUGUUGUUCUCUCCACCAUGAGGUAGAGGCCAGGUAGACAGUUCAGGAUGUGGCUCUCGCACAAGGAACACCUGUGAAUGCCGCUCUCUGACACCCGCCCACAGACUCAUUUCCCACUCACUUCUUGGAGAAAACUGUGGAAACCAAAUUUCUCUAAUUUACACAUACAGUAGCAUACAUGGUACUGGGGGCUAAUUUUAUUGUGGGGAAGGCCAUAGAACUAGACUGGAAACUACACAUCCAGAAACAGAAUCCACAGCCCACCCUGGAUCAGGUCCCUCCUGGGAACAACUGCCCCUGCUGCUGAGUACAGACGCCACUGCUCACACCUCUGACACCUGGUGCUGGACACUGGACACUGAGGCCAGGGGAGACGUCACUGCUGCACCUGGAAGCUGGACAUCACUACUGUCACUCAGCCAUCUUUACUAAAAUGUGUUCUGCACAGUCCCAGCCUUUCUGUGUGACCUCACUCUGGCUCAGAGGCUGGCAGUGAUAUAGGAGUUAAGAAGAAAUUAUUUAGGCAGAUAGUGAGGGUACAGAAGUCCUCAGUAAGGUUUUCCUUUUAAUGAAAUGCAGCCCGCAAGUCAUUUUCUUUUCUAACAAAGAGCAGCCUGUAAAAUUACUACAUCUAAUAAGAGAGAUAGACUCCAGUACAAUAAUAGUGGGGACUUCAACAUCCAACCCUCAGCAUUAAACAGAUCAUCUACACAGAAAUCAAGAAGAAACAUUGGAUUUAAACGGAACUUUAGAACUCAUAAUGCUAACAGACAUUUACAGAGCAUUCUCUCUAACACUAUAGAAUAUACUAUACUCUUUUCAUAACACAUGGAAUAUUUUCUGGGAGAUAGCCUAUGUUAAGCCACAAAAAAUCUCAACAAAUUUUCAAAAGUUGAAACCAUAUCAAAUAUCUUCUCCAGUCACAAUGGAAUAAAACUGCAAUUAUACUCCAAGGGAAACUUUGGCAGCUAGACAAAUACGUGGAAAUUAAACAACAUGCUCCUGAAUAAC